GACGAACGCUGGCGGCGUGCUUAACACAUGCAAGUCGAACGGUAAGGCCCUUCGGGUACGACGAGUGGCGAACGGGUGGAGUAACACGUGAACAACCUGCCCUUGACUCUGGGAUAACAGUUGGAAACAGCUGCUAAUACCGGAUACGAGCCUGCAAGACAUCUUGCGGGCUUGAAAGCUCCGGCGGUCAAGGAUGGAUUCGCGGCCUAUCAGCUUGUUGGUGAGGUAACGGCUCCCCAAGGCUUCGACGGGUAGCCGGCCUGAGAGGGCGACCGGCCACACUGGGACUGAGAUACGGCCCAGACUCCUACGGGAGGCAGCAGUGGGAAUAUUGCGCAAUGGGCGAAAGCCUGACGCAGCAACGCCGCGUGCGGGAUGACGGCCUCGGUUGUAA
rnacentral:rRNA from 1 species